rnacentral:rRNA from 2 species
AACUUUCAGCAACGGAUCUCUUGGCUCUCGCAUCGAUGAAGAACGCAGCGAAAUGCGAUAAGUAGUGUGAAUUGCAGAAUUCAGUGAAUCAUCGAAUCUUUGAACGCACCUUGCGCCCUUUGGCUAUUCCGAAGGGCAUGCCUGUUUGAGUAUCA